UUUUUUUUUUUUUUUUUUUUUUUAAAUUGUAAGCAGUAUUUUUCUCACUUGAUUAGAUAAUUUAGAUUUGCCAAUAGUAUUUCAAGAGGUUGGGUUGGAUUUUUUAGAAUCUAAAAAAAAGAGUGUAUUGAGCAAAUGUAAAUUGGCCAAAUUAAUAAUGGAAUGCCAUAAAACAGACAAAGGAUGGAAGACUCAUUCCUCUAAGUAUCUUAAGUCAAAUAGUAUAGCUGGUAGAAUUAUAGUUUUUAUUAAAGAUCGAUUGUGAUAGUUGUUAGGUCUACCAAUAAGUUUUUUGCAAUAAGAAGAGAAAAGAAACAAGUAGCAAAGUGCUCACAAUCAUUGCAGAAAAAAUGGCCACAAUCCAUUGUUGUCGUCUCAUUGACAGGUACUUCAUCCAUGCAAACGUCACACAUUAAUUCAGAUGAAGAAUGCAGUAAGCUACUAUCCUCACUCCUUAAGAAUUUUUGAUAAAAUCUUGUUCAUAUACUUGUAUUUCAUUAUAUUUAUGUGUUUAGUUUUUCUGUUGGUAACAAAAUUAUAAAAAAUUAAGAAUAGUCCAUGUCGCUAAAAUAAAAUAAAAUGGAAUGAAAUAUCAUUCUUAUGCUAUUUACACUGGAGAAUGUGUAUGAUUUAUUUUUUUUAAUUUUAAUGUCGAGUUUAGAAGAUAAGGUAUAAGCCCUUUUUCCUCUGCAAUAAUUGUAACUACAAAAAUGCUCUGUAGCCCGAAAAACUGAGGCUCGAAUGACUCGAAUGGUACGGAAAAUAUUAUCUUACCGGUAAGAGAAUAAAAAAAAGUCCUAAAACGACGUCGUUUUGGGAUUUCGAGCUAUUUGAGCCUUUGAUUUUUCGAGCUCCAUAGCGGUGUUGUUGUAACUAUAUGCUGCUGACGGAAGAGCCUACACAAGCUAGGAUGUCGACAUAUUUAGGCAUGUGACUUUGCCUAUUUUUGAUAUACCAUGAUGUUUUAUACAGACCAUAAUAUUUUAUACGGACCAUUUUCAAUAUUGUUUUCAAUUUAUUUAUAUAUAUGAAUUUGUAAUUCAUUUUUUUAAACAUUGCAUUUGACUGUUGAAAAUUUAGCUAUUCGACAUAAAUAUUGCUAACACACGCUCUUAUAAUGCAGCUAAGUUUUAUUGAAUCAGAGAAUGUUCUUUCUAUUUUCCGUGUCAUCACGUCUUGCAGUAGCUUUCUAUUAGAAAAGAUGAGAAUGAAUUUGGCCCAUUUGCUGCUUGGAACAUAACUGGAACAUACAGAGAGACCGAGAGGAUUGAAGGCCAUGGGAAGCAGCAUGGAGAGCGAUUCAAAAUGACGGUGAAGGAUGGAUGGGGAAUUCCUUUGGAUUUUUAUUUCUCUUCUUUUUUCUUUUUUUCCUCUGAUUUGACUGGGGGGUUGGGUGUUUCGGUUCACUUUCUUCUUAUUUUUUGUAUUAAAUGGGGGAGUGGUGAGAGAGAGAAGAGGGUAAUGUUAUUUUGUGGGUUUGUAUAUAAGGUAGUAAUUUUUUGAUUGAGAAUUGUGAAUUCAAUUUUUAGAUAUGUUAUUUUGUGGGUAAUGGUGAUUGGAUAUUAAAUUGAAUAGGAAAGUGAAUUAAUGCUGUA